GUAAGGAAUAUUGCGCAAUGGACGAAAGUCUGACGCAGCAACGCCGCGUGAGUGAUGAAGAUCUUUGGAUCGUAAAGCUCUUUCAGUGGGGAAGAAAAAUAUAACGAGUAACUGCGUUGUGUCUGACGGUACCCACAGAAGAAGUCCCGGCUAACUCCGUGCCAGCAGCCGCGGUAAUACGGGGGGGACGAGCGUUGUUCGGAUUUACUGGGCGUAAAGGGCGUGUAGGCGGACUUUCAAGUCGGAAGUGAAAACCGGAGGCUUAACCUCAGGCUUGCUUUCGAUACUGUUGGUCUUGAGUGCAGAAGAGGAAAGCGGAAUUCCAGGUGUAGCGGUGAAAUGCGUAGAUAUCUGGAAGAACACCAGUAGCGAAGGCGGCUUUCUGGUCUGACACUGACGCUAAAGCGCGAAGGCUAGGGGAGCAAACAGGAUUAGAUACCCGGGUAGUCC
rnacentral:rRNA from 1 species